CCUACGGGUGGCAGCAGUGGGGAAUAUUGGGCAAUGGGCGCAAGCCUGACCCAGCAACGCCGCGUGAAGGAAGAAGGCUUUCGGGUUUUAAACUUCUUUUCUCAGGGACGAAGCAAGUGACGGUACCUGAGGAAUAAGCCACGGCUAACUACGUGCCAGCAGCCGCGGUAAUACGUAGGUGGCAAGCGUUAUCCGGAUGUACUGGGUGUAAAGGUCGUGUAGGCGGGGACGUAAGUCAGAUGUGAAAACCACGGGCUCAACCUGUGGCCUGCAUUUGAAACUGUGUGUCUUGAGUACUGGAGAGGCAGACGGAAUUCGUAGUGUAGCGGUGAAAUGCGUAGAUAGUAGGAGGAACACCAGUGGCGAAGGCGGUUUGCUGGACAGCAACUGACGCUGAGGCGCGAAAGCGUGGGGAGCAAACAGGAUUAGAUACCCUUGUAGUC
rnacentral:rRNA from 1 species